CAGUAGCCGCGGUAAUGCGUAGGGUGCAAGCGUUAAUCGGAAUUACUGGGCGUAAAGCGUGCGCAGGCGGUUCGUUAAGACAGAUGUGAAAUCCCCGGGCUUAACCUGGGAACUGCAUCUGUGACUGGCGGGCUAGAGUAUGGCAGAGGGGGGUAGAAUUCCACGUGUAGCAGUGAAAUGCGUUGAGAUCGGAAAGAACACCAACGGCGAAAGCACUCUGCUGGGCCGACACUGACACUGAGAGACGAAAGCUAGGGGAGCAAAUGGGAUUAGAUACCCCCGUAGUCCCUGUCUCUUAUAC
rnacentral:rRNA from 1 species